rnacentral:rRNA from 1 species
GAUGAACGCUGGCGGCGUGCCUAAUACAUGCAAGUCGAGCGAACAGACGAGGAGCUUGCUCCUCUGACGUUAGCGGCGAACGGGUGAGUAACACGUGGAUAACCUACCUAUAAGACUGGGAUAACUUCGGGAAACCGGAGCUAAUACCGGAUAAUAUAUUGAACCGCAUGGUUCAAUAGUGAAAGACGGUUUUGCUGUCACUUAUAGAUGGAUCCGCGCCGCAUUAGCUAGUUGGUAAGGUAACGGCUUACCAAGGCAACGAUGCGUAGCCGACCUGAGAGGGUGAUCGGCCACACUGGAACUGAGACACGGUCCAGACUCCUACGGGAGGCAGCAGUAGGGAAUCUUCCGCAAUGGGCGAAAGCCUGGCGGAGCAACGCCGCGUGAGUGAUGAAGGUCUUCGGAUCGUAAAACUCUGUUAUUAGGGAAGAACAAAUGUGUAAGUAACUAUGCACGUCUUGACGGUACCUAAUCAGAAAGCCACGGCUAACUACGUG